rnacentral:rRNA from 1 species
UACGGAGGGGGCGAGCGUUAAUCGGAAUUACUGGGCGUAAAGGGCACGUAGGCGGCUUUGCAAGUCGGGUGUGAAAUCCCCGGGCUCAACCUGGGAACUGCAUCCGAGACUGCAUUGCUUGAGUAUGGGAGAGGGAAGCGGAAUUUCUGGUGUAGCAGUGAAAUGCGUAGAUAUCAGAAGGAACAUCAGUGGCGAAGGCGGCUUCCUGGACCAAUACUGACGAUCAGGUGCGAAAGCGUGGGGAGCAAACAGG